UUUCACACGAGACAUUGCUUCGUCUGAAUGUUGUAGUCAUUAUGGCUUGAUUUGCAUAUUGAGCAUCACUAAUUUCCUCGGCGUGUCUAAAUGCGGCUGCACGUAAUAAACAAGACGACGUCAUUGAACGUGACCCCCUCAGUCCUGCAUCAAACGAGUCUCAAAACCAGAUCAAUUAAUAACGACAGAAAGACAACCAUAACGUAAUUCGAAGAAAAACGCUACUCUCCGUAAGUGGGAAAUUUAUAAUUGUUCCCAAAUGGUAGAAAAUGUCAGUAGAUAGGCUACGCUUGAAAGACAUGUUGGAAACACAGAUCAUAUUCAGGUAAGUCACACCUGGUCAUAUCAUUAAGACCUUCGCGCAACAAGAACUCAUUAAUUCCAUCGCACGUAUAAUGCAGAGGUAGAAGGGGUGGAUCAUAAAUCGCCCCCCACCCUCUCAAACCCCACCCAAACCCCCCCAAACUUGCAGGGUUCGCGCCGCACUUUCCAUUCGCUCGCGCUCAAGCAGUCACGUGAUGAAGUUCUGCUCUUCCCUCACACCUUCUCAUCCUGUGGAUGGAAUAAGAUGCUUUCAAACGACGAUGCCAAGUGCAUCUCCAGCAAACGAGUCGUGGAAGGAUUUCGUGGAUGUGAUUUCUAAUCGAGGGUGUUCGUUUAUCCGUUUCACAUCCAGAUGAUUGGGUUUUCGGUGCCAUGGGGAGUCCAAGGAGAAUAGGCAGCUGGAGCUCGGAGUCGCCCGCAGGAGGAAGUGGAGGCAGCGCUGCCUCAUGAGGCUGAUGCAACAUGAGGGAUGGAAGACAAAUGAAGGAUGCUAAAGGAAGCAUGGGAAAGAUGUGAUCUGGAUACUUUCAUAUCACUUCAGUGAAAAUAGCAUCAAUCAGAGCUCACAUAUCAUCAUACGAAGAUGCAGAAGAUGGUUCAAUCAAAUGGUAAAAAAUAUAAUAUAAACAAA